UUGAAUAAGACCUUGAGAGUAUAUAUGUUUAUGAUUUUGUCAAACAAUGUUAAAGCAUAUUUGAAUUAUUCCAGUUAAGGACACUCUACUAAGAUAAAUAUUUUCUCCUCCAAUGUUGCCCCCACUCUUACCAUGUGACACACUGACUCCCCCUUUGCCUUUCACCAUGACUGAAAGCUUACUGAGGACUCACUGGAAGCUGAGCAGAUGCCAGCACCAUGCUUCCUGUAUAGCCUGUGGAACAGUGGGCCAAUUAAACAUCUUUUCUUUAUAAAUUACCCAGUCUCAGAUAUUCCUUUAAAGCAAUGCAAGAAUGAACUAACACAUCAUGAUACAAUAUAUAUUUUUCUCCCAUCCAAUCUGAACAACAAUACCAACAACAUGCUGUCUCACAAACAGCAUUAAUAACUUAAAAGGGAAAUCCUUAUAAGCAGAAACUAACUACUUUUGGAAGACUCACUCUUACACAAAGCAAACCACAGCAUUAGGAAAUGAAAGGUGGGGUCUUUUUCUCUUUAAAUGAGAUGAAAGGAAGCAUGGGGUAUUUAUGUAAAGAUUGGCUUUGUUGCAUAUGUAUUUUCAAGGAG
rnacentral:lncRNA from 1 species